CUUNUGGUCCAUGCCCUGCAGGUUAUACUGGAAAUGGAGAAUAUUGUACAUAUUCAGGAGUAUGCAGGAUGAAUAAUGGAGGAUGUCAUCCUCUUGCAACUUGUAUUGAAAAUACAGCUAUAUCGCCAUUAUACAGAGAAUGUCGUUGUCCAAGUGGUUUGACAGGAAGCGGAGUUGGACCAAAUGGUUGCAUAACUGCUACUGGUACAGCUUGUGAAGCUAAUCCAUGUUUACACGGAAGUUGUCAAGUUAGCGGAAAUAAUUAUAUAUGUAUAUGCUCUCCUGGCUAUACAG